CUCAACAUAUGCAAUAUUUCCAUUACAGAUGGUGCUCUUAGCAAGAUAUAAUAGUCCUAAUAUGGAAAAAUUUGUGUACGUUGGCAUAUUGCACUAGGACAAGAUGGGAUGCUUGAUGCAGGUUAGUAGCAUGUAACUGAACUGGUGCCAUAUGUUUAUUUUUCCAAUGCUGAACAAGAAAUCUUCUGGCUAUAAGGAAGCACUCCUUGAUGAAAUCUCUGUGCAGCUGCUAUUAUCACUUUUCUUCAGUCACCUGUACAUGAAAUUAAGUUGAGAAAAUGGCAAAGUGUCACAGAUCGUCACAAAAGAACACAAUUGCUCUUGUUUCUACAUGACAUUUGCUUUGUUGGGGGAUUUCCGGGGGAGGAAUAGUGAACUGAAAAUUGUUCUCUGAAAGUGGAGCUGAUGACUAUUGUCUGUGAUGGAUACAAAAGAAACAGUGUUACACCAGUUCCUUGGAACUUCUCCAGAUAAGAAGAAAAUGUGAGAUUGCUCACAGAUA